rnacentral:rRNA from 1 species
CUAAUACCGGAUAACACUCUGUCCCGCAUGGGACGGGGUUAAAAGCUCCGGCGGUGAAGGAUGAGCCCGCGGCCUAUCAGCUUGUUGGUGGGGUGAUGGCCUACCAAGGCGACGACGGGUAGCCGGCCUGAGAGGGCGACCGGCCACACUGGGACUGAGACACGGCCCAKACUCCUACGGGAGGCAGCAGUGGGGAAUAUUGCACAAUGGGCGAAAGCCUGAUGCAGCGACGCCGCGUGAGGGAUGACGGCCUUCGGGUUGUAAACCUCUUUCAGCAGGGAAGAAGCGAAAGUGACGGUACCUGCAGAAGAAGCGCCGGCUAACUACGUGCCAGCAGCCGCGGUAAUACGUAGGGCGCAAGCGUUGUCCGGAAUUAUUGGGCGUAAAGAGCUCGUAGGCGGCUUGUCACGUCGGAUGUGAAAGCCCGGGGCUUAACCCCGGGUCUGCAUUCGAUACGGGCUAGCUAGAGUGUGGUAGGGG